rnacentral:lncRNA from 1 species
GGGGGGGGGGGGGGGGGGGGGGGGGGGGGGGGGGGGGGGGGGGGGGGGGGGGGGGGGGGGGGGGGGGGGGGGGGGGGGGGGGGGGGGGGGGCGCGGCUCCGGCGGCCCCGCCAUCCCCGGCGCGGCCGGGCGGGCCCAGCCCGGGCCGGCACAGCCCUGUGCGGCCCGGCCCGCCCCGCUCCGCCCCGCGGGCCGGCGAUGGCAGCGGGUCACGGCACAUCCCUGCCCUGCAGUGCGCUCCCCGCGCUCCCCGGGCUCGGUGCUGCUGCCUUUAGGUGUGUGGGACAGCCUGCUGCCGGAACGGCGACGGGUUCGUGGGUGCGAUGGCCAGGGCCUUCCCUUUGGGGUGUUCCCCAAGGACACAGAUUGAGCACUGUGGACACGUGUGGUUUUGUGUAUUUUUGUAUAUCUUCGCGUUUAGAAAGGCAGUUUUCCUUAUGGACUGUACAUAUGAGAGUAUUAUAUAAGGAACCUGUGAGUGCUAUACAGCUGGCAGCUUUAUUCUUCUAG